UACGGAGACUGCGAGCGUUACUCGGAUUCACUGGGCGUAAAGGGUGCGCAGGCGGCUAGAUGUGUCAGAUGUGAAAUUUUGAAGCUCAACUUCAAAUGUGCGUCUUGAAACUAUUUAGCUAGAGUAUUGAAGAGGUAAGCGGAAUUCCUAGUGUAGCAGUGAAAUGCGUAGAUAUUAGGAGGAACACCAAAGGCGAAGGCAGCUUACUGGACAAUAACUAACGCUCAU
rnacentral:rRNA from 1 species